rnacentral:rRNA from 1 species
UACGCAGACGGUGAGAAAGGUCGGAUGUGAAAGCCCCGGGCUCAACCCGGGAACUGCAUCCGAAACCAUCUCGCUAGAGUAUGGGAGAGGGAAGCAGAAUUCCUGGUGUAGAGGUGAAAUUCGUAGAUAUCAGGAGGAAUACCUGCGGCGAAGGCGGCUUCCUGGCCCAUUACUGACGUUCAGGUACGAAAGCGUGGGUAGCAAACAGGAUUAGAUACCCUGGUAGUCCACGCCGUAAACGAUGUGUGCUGGAUGUCGGGGGUAUUCACCCCCUCGGUAUCGAAGCUAACGCGAUAAGCACACCGCCUGGGGAGUACGGCCGCAAGGUUGAA